AACCGCCGUAUGCCGAACGGCACGUACGGUGGUGUGAGAGGACAGUAAGGGAAGUAAUCCCUUACUUCCUACUCGAU
rfam:Niastella koreensis GR20-10, complete genome.